rnacentral:rRNA from 1 species
GACGAACGCUGGCGGCGUGCUUAACACAUGCAAGUCGAGCGGUAAGGCCCUUUCGGGGGUACGACGAGCGGCGAACGGGUGAGUAACACGUGGGUGACCUGCCCUCAGCUCUGGGAUAAGCCUGGGAAACCGGGUCUAAUACUGGAUAUGACUCCAUGACGCAUGUUGUGGGGUGGAAAGCCUUGUGCGGCUGAGGAUGGGCCCGCGGCCUAUCAGCUUGUUGGUGGGGUGANGGCCUACCAAGGCGACGACGGGUAGCCGGCCUGAGAGGGCGACCGGCCACACUGGGACUGAGACACGGCCCAGACUCCUACGGGAGGCAGCAGCGGGGAAUCUUGCGCAAUGGGCGAAAGCCUGACGCAGCGACGCCGCGUGAGGGAUGACGG